UUAAAAGCGUUAAAGCUUUAUAUUACUUUCCACAAAAAUUCUUAAAAUAAACAUGACCCCAAAUUAGUUAUUGAAUGACCCCAUAAAAAUAUGGAAUCCAUUAUGUUAGAACUAGUAACUAGAAUUAAUAAUUCUCCAAAAUGUAAGCAUAAACCAACAUGGAUAACCCACUGGUAAUUAACGAAAAUGAAUAAAAUACAGUAACCACCUACGAAAAACAUGUAAUAUUAAUCGUCAAUCUUACACCAGAACAUUAAUGGAAAGAUUAAAAGGGGGAGAAGGAACUCGGCAAACCACGGCCCCGCCUGUUUACCAAAAACAUCGCCUCUUGCUUAAUAUAAGAGGUCCAGCCUGCCCAGUGAAAAUUUAACGGCCGCGGUACCCUGACCGCGCGAAGGUAGCAUAAUCACUCGUUCUUUAAAUAGGGACUUGUAUCAAUGGCAUCACGAGGGUCGCACUGUCUCCUCCCCCCAAUCAGUGAACCUGAUCUCUCCGUGAAGAAGCGGGGAUGAAAAUAUAAGACGAGAAGACCCCAUGGAGCUUUAAACCCAAAGCAAUCUAAUAAAUAAACCCCCAUAUAAUUUAAGUAUGCAUAACGGCUUUAGGUUGGGGUGACCGCGGGGCAAAAACAAACCCCCACAACGAAAAGAGAUAAACCUUUAUUUAAGAGCUACUACUCUAAAAAUUAGCACACUAACGAACAAUGACCCGACAAUCGAUCAAUGAACCAAGUUACCCUGGGGAUAACAGCGCAAUCUACUUCAAGAGCCCAUAUCGACAAGUAGGCUUACGACCUCGAUGUUGGAUCAGGGUAUCCCAGUGGUGCAACCGCUACUAAUGGUUCGUUUGUUCAACGAUUAAAACC
rnacentral:rRNA from 1 species